AAAGCUCCCAAGUUCGAUGUUUCUUUCUCAAGUUUGAACAAUGAUAUUGUUAUUAGGAAAUUGUGAAGAAGGAAAUGGCCUCAUUUAUAGAACUGUGAUGAGAGUGUCACCACCGCUUAUUUAUUGUAGUUUUCCGUUAUAUCAAUAAGUAUUUCAUACAUGAGAAAUAUAUUUUUGGAUUUGAAUCUUACAUCAUUGAUUUAAAUCUUUAUGUUGAG
rnacentral:misc_RNA from 1 species